AUAUAUAUGCCCCUAGUAUCUUUUAAACUCGGUCUCGAUUUCGAUAUUUCCAUAAAAUUAUGCAUUGACUAACUGUAGUAUUGUCGACGUGGCUUGAUGUAAACUUGAGCUUGGCAGGGUGCAUAUGUAGUAUGAUCAGUUUAUGCAAAAUUUGCGUUUACUUACGUUGAUAUAUAAAUCAAGAACGUUGUGAAUACUGGAGAUAAUCCAUGGUCAUGCUGCUUAAC
rnacentral:sRNA from 1 species